UUCUAGGGUCAUACCACCCUGACCACGCCCCAUCUCACCCAAUCUCGGAAGCUAAGCAAGGCCAGGCCUGGUUAGUACGUGGAGGACAAUAGGAGAGAGGUGAUGGGAACUGGAUC
rnacentral:rRNA from 1 species